UACGGAGGAUCCAAGCGUUAUCCGGAUUUAUUGGGUUUAAAGGGUGCGCAGGCGGAAGAUUAAGUCGGCGGUGAAAUUUUGCAGCUCAACUGUAAAAGUGCCAUCGAUACUGGUUUUCUUGAGUGUGGAUGAAGUAGGCGGAAUUUGUGGUGUAGCGGUGAAAUGCAUAGAUAUCACACAGAACACCGAUUGCGAAGGCAGCACACUAAGUCAUUAUUGACGCUGAGGCACGAAAGUGUGGGGAUCAAACAGGAUUAGA
rnacentral:rRNA from 1 species